rnacentral:rRNA from 1 species
UACAGAGGCCCCAAGCAUUAUCCGGAAUCACUGGGCGUAAAGGGUGUCAAGGCGGUUAUAUUAGUCGUUCGUUAAAUCCGUGGGCUCAACCUACGGCGUGCGAGCGAAACGGUAUAACUAGAGAGCGUAAGAGGUAUAUGGAACUCAUGGUGUAGGGGUGAAAUCCGUUGAUAUCAUGGGGAACACCAAAGGCGAAGGCAGUAUACUGGUACGUUUCUGACGCUCACACACGAAAGCCAGGGUAGCGAACGGG